rnacentral:rRNA from 1 species
UACGAAGGGGGCUAGCGUUGCUCGGAAUUACUGGGCGUAAAGCGCACGUAGGCGGCUUUCUAAGUCGGGGGUGAAAUCCUGGAGCUCAACUCCAGAACUGCCUUCGAUACUGGAAAGCUCGAGUCCGGGAGAGGUGAGUGGAACUGCGAGUGUAGAGGUGAAAUUCGUAGAUAUUCGCAAGAACACCAGUGGCGAAGGCGGCUAACUGGUCCAGAUCUGACGCUGAGGUGCGAAAGCGUGGGGAGCAAACAGG